GUGGGGAAUAUUGGACAAUGGCCGGAAGGCUGAUCCAGCCAUGCCGCGUGCGGGAAGGCGGCCCUAUGGGUUGUAAACCGCUUUUGCGGGGGAGCAAUAAGGUGCACGCGUGCACCGAUGAGAGUACCCUGCGAAUAAGCAUCGGCUAACUCCGUGCCAGCAGCCGCGGUAAUACGGAGGAUGCAAGCGUUAUCCGGAUUUAUUGGGUUUAAAGGGUGCGUAGGCGGUUUGCUAAGCGGGAGGUGAAAUGCCGGCGCUCAACGUCGGAAGUGCCUCCCGAACUGGUGGACUGGAAUGACUCUGCCGUGGGAGGAAUGUGUAGUGUAGCGGUGAAAUGCUUAGAGAUUACACAGAACACCGAUUGCGAAGGCAUCUCACGAAGGGUUGAUUGACGCUGAGGCACGAAAGCGUGGGGAUCAAACAGG
rnacentral:rRNA from 1 species